rnacentral:rRNA from 1 species
AGGUUACUGCUAUCGAGGUUCGACUAAGCCAUGCGAGACGAAUGUAGCAAUACAUGGCGUACUGCUCAGUAACACGUGGACAACCUACCCUUAGGCCUGGGAUAACCCCGGGAAACUGGGAAUAAUACCGGAUAUCUCGCGAAUGCUGGAAUGCGUCGCGAUAGAAAGCUCCGGCGCCUAAGGAUGGGUCUGCGGCCUAUCAGGGUAGUAGUGGGUGUAACGUACCUACUAGCCUACGACGGGUACGGGUUGUGAGAGCAAGAGCCCGGAGAUGGAUUCUGAGACACGAAUCCAGGCCCUACGGGGUGCAGCAGGCGCGAAAACUUUACAAUGCUGGGAACAGCGAUAAGGGGACCUCGAGUGCCAGGAUACAAUCCUGGCUGUCGUAAUGCCUAAAAAGCAUUGCAUAGCAAGGGCCGGGCAAGACCGGUGCCAGCCGCCGCGGUAACACCGGCGGCUCGAGUGGUAACCGCUAUUAUUGGGUCUAAAGGGUCUGUAGCCGGCUGACUAAGUCUCUUGGGAAAUCGACAGCUUAACUGUCAGGCUUUCAGGAGAUACUGAUCGGCUCGAGACCGGGAGAGGUGAGAGGUACCUCAGGGGUAGGGGUGAAAUCUUGUAAUCCUUGAGGGACCACCAGUGGCGAAGGCGUCUCACCAGAACGGAUCUGACGGCAAGGGACGAAAGCUAGGGGCACGAACCGGAUUAGAUACCCGGGUAGUCCUAGCCGUAAACGAUACUCGCUAGGUGUCGGCCACGGUGCGACCGUGGUCGGUGCCGUAGGGAAGCCGUGAAGCGAGCCACCUGGGAAGUACGGCCGCAAGGCUGAAACUUAA